rnacentral:rRNA from 1 species
AUGAACGCUGGCGGCGUGCUUAACACAUGCCCGUCGAACGAUGAAGCCCAGCUUGCUGGGUGGAUUAGUGGCGAACGGGUGAGUAACACGUGAGUAACCUGCCCUUAACUCUGGGAUAAGCCUGGGAAACUGGGUCUAAUACCGGAUAGGAGCGCCUACCGCAUGGUGGGUGUUGGAAAGAUUUAUCGGUUUUGGAUGGACUCGCGGCCUAUCAGCUUGUUGGUGAGGUAAUGGCUCACCAAGGCGACGACGGGUAGCCGGCCUGAGAGGGUGACCGGCCACACUGGGACUGAGACACGGCCCAGACUCCUACGGGAGGCAGCAGUGGGGAAUAUUGCACAAUGGGCGAAAGCCUGAUGCAGCGACGCCGCGUGAGGGAUGACGGCCUUCGGGUUGUAAACCUCUUUCAGUAGGGAAGAAGCGAAAGUGACGGUACCUGCAGAAGAAGCACCGGCUAACUACGUG